rnacentral:rRNA from 1 species
UGGGGAAUAUUGGACAAUGGGGGCAACCCUGAUCCAGCGAUGCCGCGUGUGUGAAGAAGGCCUGAGGGUUGUAAAGCACUUUAGUUGUUGAGGAAGGUUGUGUGGUGAAUACCCGCAUGACUUGACGGUAAACAAAGAAUAAGCACCGGCUAACUCUGUGCCAGCAGCCGCGGUAAUACGUAGGGUGCAGGCGUUAAUCGGAAUUACUGGGCGUAAAGCGUGCGCAGGCGGUUUGUUAAGACAGAUGUGAAAUCCCCGGGCUUAACCUGGGAACUGCGUUUGUAACUGGCAGACUGGAGUGUGGCAGAGGGGGGUGGAAUUCCAAGUGUAGCAGUGAAAUGCGUAGAUAUUUGGAGGAACACCGAUGGCGAAGGCAGCCCCCUGGGCUAACACUGACGCUCAUGCACGAAAGCGUGGGGAGCAAACAGGAUUAGAUACCCCAGUAGUCCCUGAGCGGGCUGGCAAGGCGCAU